rnacentral:rRNA from 1 species
UAGUCCACGCUGUAAACGAUGUCGAUUUGGAGUUUGUUGCCUAGAGUGAUGGGCUCCGAAGCUAACGCGAUAAAUCGACCGCCUGGGGAGUACGGCCGCAAGGUUAAAACUCAAAUGAAUUGACGGGGGCCCGCACAAGCGGUGGAGCAUGUGGUUUAAUUCGAUGCAACGCGAAGAACCUUACCUGGUCUUGACAUCCAUAGAAUUCUGCAGAGAUGUGGGAGUGCCUUCGGGAACUAUGAGACAGGUGCUGCAUGGCUGUCGUCAGCUCGUGUUGUGAAAUGUUGGGUUAAGUCCCGCAACGAGCGCAACCCUUAUUCUUUGUUGCCAGCGAUUUGGUCGGGAACUCAAAGGAGACUGCCGUUGAUAAAGCGGAGGAAGGUGGGGACGACGUCAAGCCAUCAUGGCCCUUACGACCAGGGCUACACACGUGCUACAAUGGCGUAUACAAAGGGAAGCGAAGGUGCGAGCUGGAGCGGAUCUCAUAAAGUACGUCUAAGUUCGGAUUGGAGUCUGCAACUCGACUCCAUGAAGUCGGGAUCGCUAGUAAUCGUAGAUCAGAAUGCUACGGUGAAUACGUUCCCGGGCCUUGUACACACCGCCCGUCACACCAUGGGAGUGGGUUGCACCAGAAGUAGAUAGCUUAACCGCGAGGGGGGCGUUUACCACGGUGUGAUUCAUGACUGGGGUGAAGUCGUAACAAGGUAACCA